rnacentral:rRNA from 1 species
AUACGGAGGGUGCGAGCGUUAAUCGGAAUUACUGGGCGUAAAGCGCGCGUAGGCGGUUUUCCAAGUUGGGGGUGAAAUCCCGAGGCUCAACCUCGGAACUGCCCUCAAAACUGGAUGACUAGAGUCCGGGAGAGGUUGGCGGAAUUCCUAGUGUAGAGGUGAAAGUCGUAGAUAUUAGGAAGAACACCAGUGGCGAAGGCGGCCAACUGGACCGGUUCUGACGCUAAGGAGCGAAAGCGUGGGGAGCAAACGGGAUUAGAAACCCCGGUAGUCC